ACCUGGCUGGCUCAGUUGGAAGAACAUGUGACUCUUAAUCUCAGGGUUGUGGGUUUGAGCCCCACGUUGGGUA
rnacentral:tRNA from 1 species